rnacentral:rRNA from 1 species
GACGAACGCUGGCAGCGUGCUUAACACAUGCAAGUCGAACGGUGAAGGGGCCUGCUUUUGUGGGUCCUGGAUGAGUGGCGAACGGGUGAGUAACACGUGAGUAACCUGCCCCCUUCUUCUGGAUAACCGCAUGAAAGUGUGGCUAAUACGGGAUAUUCUGGGUCUGUCGCAUGGUGGGCCUGGGAAAGAUUGCGCUUUUUUGGUGUUUUUGGUGGGGGAUGGGCUCGCGGCCUAUCAGCUUGUUGGUGGGGUGAUGGCCUACCAAGGCGGUGACGGGUAGCCGGCCUGAGAGGGUGGACGGUCACACUGGGACUGAGACACGGCCCAGACUCCUACGGGAGGCAGCAGUGGGGAAUAUUGCACAAUGGGCGCAAGCCUGAUGCAGCGACGCCGCGUGAGGGAUGGAGGCCUUCGGGUUGUGAACCUCUUUCGCCAGUGAAGCAGGCCUGCCUCGUUUGUGGGUGGGU